CAAUCGGUGACGUUUGGGAGAGAAGAAGCAAUAGCGAAAUCGUGGCUCGACGAACAGAAAUCCGAUACUAAGGCACCCCAAGUUGGAUGAGACUGCCUAAGAAGUCAAAGUCCUAAAGGCAACCGUAACCUUGGUGUGUAAAUCGGGCGAGUAAACGAUGAAAGAUGUAUGG
rfam:Bacteroides nordii CL02T12C05 genomic scaffold supercont1.1, whole genome shotgun sequence.